rnacentral:misc_RNA from 1 species
GAUGAAGAACGUAGCAAAAUGCGAUACUUGGUGUGAAUUGCAGAAUCCCGUGAACCAUCGAGUUUUUGAACGCAAGUUGCGCCCGAAGCCUUUUGGCCGAGGGCACGUCUGCCUGGCGUCACGCAUCGCGUCGCCCACCACAAAUUCUCCGUCAGGGGAGCUUGUGUUUCGGGGGCGGAUACUGGUCUCCCGUGCUCAUGGCGCGGUUGGCCGAAAUAGGAGUCCCUUCGAUGGACGCACGAACUAGUGGUGGUCGUAAAAACCCUCGUCUUUUGUUUCGUGCCGUUAGUCGCGAGGGAAGCUCUUCAAAAACCCCAACGCGUCGUCUCUUGACGGCGCUUCGACCGCGACCCCAGGUCAGGCGGGACUACCCGCUGAGUUUAAGCAUAUCAAUAAGCGGAGGA